CCUACGGGUGGCAGCAGUCGAGAAUCAUUCACAAUGGGGGAAACCCUGAUGGUGCGACGCCGCGUGGGGGAAUGAAGGUCUUCGGAUUGUAAACCCCUGUCAUGUGGGAGCAAAUUAAAAAGAUAGUACCACAAGAGGAAGAGACGGCUAACUCUGUGCCAGCAGCCGCGGUAAUACAGAGGUCUCAAGCGUUGUUCGGAAUCACUGGGCGUAAAGCGUGCGUAGGCUGUUUCGUAAGUCGUGUGUGAAAGGCGCGGGCUCAACCCGCGGACGGCACAUGAUACUGCGAGACUAGAGUAAGGGAGGGGGAACCGGAAUUCUCGGUGUAGCAGUGAAAUGCGUAGAUAUCGAGAGGAACACUCGUGGCGAAGGCGGGUGCCUGGACAUUAACUGACGCUGAGGCACGAAGGCCAGGGGAGCGAAAGGGAUUAGAUACCCGAGUAGUC
rnacentral:rRNA from 1 species